UGCAGCCCUGUCAAAUUCAGUGCUUCCUCCUCUGUGGACCGUACUGGCCAAAAUGGCUGCAACAGUGAAUUUGUAGUCUAUGGGCCCCAUAUUCUUCCAUAGUAGAUCCUGGGGAUAGAAAUGACUAUGUACAGUU